rnacentral:lncRNA from 1 species
GCACGCGGACCGGAAAGGCUGGCUGUGCAGACGCUGGACUACGGCGCAGCAAUGAUGGGCAAAUCUGUGAAAGACGUUGACAGAUACCAGGCUGUUCUAAACUCUUUACUGGCGCUGGAAGAGAACAAAUUCUGCGCCGAUUGCGAAUCCAAAGUUUGCAGAAUGUACACCAGAAGAGGAUUGGCUUUUGCUACACACACCGCUGGGAAAAGAAGGAGGAAUACAGGAAUAUGAAUCGGAAGCUGAACGAGAAAGUGAAGUAAGUGAAAAUGUUGGUGUGAAUGUUACUAUCUGUAAUUUUGAUGUCAUUUGGUUUGGCCAGAGGUAGCCCUAAGUUUUAUUCCGGUUAUUGUUAGCCCUGGUUAACACGCAGACACACCCAGUCCAGUGUACAGAAAGACCACUAAUAAAACUGUGUUCACGCCGAACGCGAAUGAUUCACGGGCAAAUGUGCGUCUUCCGUUUCUCCUUUGCCACGCGGCAAAGUCUCUGUUGGCCGUCAGUCAAAAAAAUGUGUUCCAGAGCUUGUAGCUACUAGCUGCAAACACAUGUGGGAGAAGCUUUAAGCUAAUGUUUUUAGCCUGAUGGUUACAUGGUGGAACGACGCUGAAGUUGGCUUCCGAUUCACAGCUUUUGCGCUUUGCAAGGGGACUAAAGGAACAUUCCACGGCAUUUUUUGUACUAUAAUUAGCUAAAACCGGGUCAUGUUCAAACACCACAGGACCUGGACUGCUGAAACUUGGAUUAGAUUAUGCAUUUGAUUUUAAAGAAUACAUUAAACACAGUUUCUGAUCUGUGAAACCUUUACCUGAUUUGUGUAUAAUAAAAUCGUAAAACGCAAUAAAAAUCAUCCCAUAAUUAUCAUCCUAGAUUUUAAUAAAGGUGGUUUGUAUUGUCAAAUUUUUUUCUAUCUACUUUUAGAAGAUGACAUUGCCGUGACCCUGGAGGAGGUGUUAAUCUAAAACUAUGUACGCAAUAUUCAUGCUGUAUGUGCAAUAUUCAUUCUAUAUGUGGAAUACCCACUCAUAUGUGCAAUAUUCACCCCACUCUACUGUACAGUAUUUAUGUCUUAUAUAGCUCCUUAUCCUUAUUUUAUUUAAUUCUACCUUUUUAUAUUGUUAGAAGAGAGUUGCUGGAAAAAAUUUCAUUGUGCACUGCAGAAUGAUAAU